rnacentral:lncRNA from 1 species
CUCAUGCGACUCUCAACAUAAUCUGCCUCUAAAAAUACUCAUAGCCUUGUGGAUUUCGCAACAAAGUAUAGUAUUUUUAGUUAAGUCAGAUCCUUCAUUUUUAUACAGUCAUAUCUGAAAAAUACUGCCCUUGUGGAUAUCACAACAAAGCAAUAUAUCAAAAUAUGCCAUAAAGUAUAUAAUAUGCACCAAGACAAACCCACAUCAAUUCUUAUAGCAAGCCUUAUGGAUAUCACAACAAACCUACUAUGAUUUUUGUCAGGAUAUUGACUAGGCA